CUUAAACCACAGAAAUGCAUUGUCUUACACUUCUCAAAACCAGAAGUCCAAAAUCAAGAUGUCAGCAGUGUGGGUUCCUUCUGAAGGUUGUGAGGAAGAAUCUAUUCCAUGCCUCUCCUCCAGCUUCUGGUGGUUUGCGAUUUAAGAAGCACUUUAAAAGAUGAAUCUCUUUCUGAUGUGCCCCGAUCUCAACUUCUUUGCGUGAACCAAAUUACCUGGACAAAAUCAAAUUAUUUCCAAGACAGUUAAGACGUCGACAUGACCAUGCGUGGUGGCUCACACCUGUAAUCCCAGCACUUUGGGAGGCCAAGGCAGGAGGAUCACUCAAGCCCGGAAAUUUGAGACCAUCCUGUGCAACAUGGCAAAACCCCAUCUCUACAAAAAAUACCAAAACUUUGCCGGGCAUGGUGGUGUACACCUCCUAUAAUCCCACCUACUCCGGAGGCUGAGGUAGGAGGAUUGCCUGAGCCUGAGAGGUGGAGUUUGCAGUGAGCCAAGAUCUUGCCACUGCACUACAAUCUGGGCGACAAAGUGAGACCCUGUCUAAAAUAUCAUAAAUUU
rnacentral:lncRNA from 10 species